UGCAAGUCGAACGGUAGUCGCAAGACUAUAGUGGCGCACGGGUGAGUAACACGUAGCUUACCUCCCUCUCAGCGCGGGAUAACGACUCGAAAGAGUUGCUAAUACCGCAUAAGCCCACGGGUUACAGAGACUUGUGAGAAAAGGCUUCGGUCACUGAGAGACGGGGCUGCGGCCCAUCAGCUAGUUGGUGAGGUAAAGGCUUACCAAGGCGACGACGGGUAGGGGACCUGAGAGGGUGACCCCCCACACUGGGACUGAGACACGGCCCAGACUCCUACGGGAGGCAGCAGUGAGGAAUAUUGCACAAUGGGCGCAAGCCUGAUGCAGCGACGCCGCGUGGGUGAUGAAGGUCUUCGGAUCGUAAAGCCCUUUUCUGCGUGACGAGACAGGACGGUAGCGCAGGAAUAAGUCUCGGCUAACUGCGUGCCAGCAGCCGCGGUAAAACGUAGGAGACAAACGUUAUCCGGAGUUACUGGGCGUAAAGGGCGUGUAGGCGGUAUGUUAAGUCUGGCGUGAAAGCUCUCGGCUAAACCGGGAGAGGUCGUUGGAUACUGGCAAACUAGAGGAUGGUAGAGGCGUGUGGAAUUCCGGGUGUAGUGGUGAAAUGCGUAGAGAUCCGGAGGAACACCAGUGGCGAAGGCGACACGCUGGGCCAUACCUGACGCUAAAGCGCGACAGCAUGGGGAGCAAACGGGAUUAGAAACCCCGGUAGUCCAUGCCGUAAACGAUGCCAGCUAGAUGUUCAGUUCUCGCAAGAGAGCGGGGUAUCGAAGCAAACGUGAUAAGCUGGCCGCCUGGGGAGUACGGUCGCAAGGCUAAAACUCAAAGGAAUUGACGGGGGCCCGCACAAGCAGCGGAGCGUGUGGUUUAAUUCGAGGCUACACGAAGAACCUUACCUGGGUUUGACAUAGCGGUGGUAGUGAACUGAAAAG
rnacentral:rRNA from 1 species